rnacentral:rRNA from 1 species
AGUUUGAUCCUGGCUCAGGAUGAACGCUAGCUACAGGCUUAACACAUGCAAGUCGAGGGGCAGCAUGAACUUAGCUUGCUAAGUUUGAUGGCGACCGGCGCACGGGUGAGUAGCACGUAUCCAACCUGCCGAUGACUCGGGGAUAGCCUUUCGAAAGAAAGAUUAAUACCCGAUGGCAUAGUUCUUCCGCAUGGUAGAACUAUUAAAGAACUUCGGUCAUCGAUGGGGAUGCGUUCCAUUAGGUUGUUGGCGGGGUAACGGCCCACCAAGCCUUCGAUGGAUAGGGGUUCUGAGAGGAAGGUCCCCCACAUUGGAACUGAGACACGGUCCAAACUCCUACGGGAGGCAGCAGUGAGGAAUAUUGGUCAAUGGACGAGAGUCUGAACCAGCCAAGUAGCGUGAAGGAUGACUGCCCUAUGGGUUGUAAACUUCUUUUAUACGGGAAUAAAGUGAGGCACGUGUGCCUUUUUGUAUGUACCGUAUGAAUAAGGAUCGGCUAACUCCGUGCCAGCAGCCGCGGUAAUACGGAGGAUCCGAGCGUUAUCCGGAUUUAUUGGGUUUAAAGGGAGCGUAGGCGGACGCUUAAGUCAGUUGUGAAAGUUUGCGGCUCAACCGUAAAAUUGCAGUUGAUACUGGGUGUCUUGAGUACAGUAGAGGCAGGCGGAAUUCGUGGUGUAGCGGUGAAAUGCUUAGAUAUCACGAAGAACUCCGAUUGCGAAGGCAGCUUGCUGGACUGUAACUGACGCUGAUGCUCGAAAGUGUGGGUAUCAAACAGGAUUAGAUACCCUGGUAGUCCACACAGUAAACGAUGAAUACUCGCUGUUUGCGAUAUACGGUAAGCGGCCAAGCGAAAGCGUUAAGUAUUCCACCUGGGGAGUACGCCGGCAACGGUGAAACUCAAAGGAAUUGACGGGGGCCCGCACAAGCGGAGGAACAUGUGGUUUAAUUCGAUGAUACGCGAGGAACCUUACCCGGGCUUGAAUUGCAACUGAAUGAUGUGGAGACAUGUCAGCCGCAAGGCAGUUGUGAAGGUGCUGCAUGGUUGUCGUCAGCUCGUGCCGUGAGGUGUCGGCUUAAGUGCCAUAACGAGCGCAACCCUUAUCGAUAGUUACCAUCAGGUGAUGCUGGGGACUCUGUCGAGACUGCCGUCGUAAGAUGUGAGGAAGGUGG